rnacentral:rRNA from 1 species
AUUGAACGCUGGCGGCAGGCCUAACACAUGCAAGUCGAGCGGAGCGGCGGACGGGUGAGUAAUGCCUAGGAAUCUGCCUGGUGGUGGGGGAUCACGUCCGGACACGGGCGCUAAUACAGCAUACUAUCAGAUCAACCUAGGUCGGAUUAGCUAGUUGGUGGGGUAAAGGCCUACCAAGGCGACGAUCCGUAACUGGUAUGAGAGGAGGAUCAGUCAAACGGGAACUGGGAAAGGGCCCAGAAGCCUCCGGGAGGCAGCAUUGGGGAAUAUUGGACAAUGGACGAAAGCCUGAUCCAGCAAGGCCGCGUGGUUGAAGAAGGUCUUCGGAUGUUAAAGCACUUUAAGUUGGGAGGCGUUACCAACAGAAUAAGCACCGGCUAACUUCGUGCCAGCAGCCGCGGUAAUUC